rnacentral:rRNA from 1 species
GACGAACGCUGGCGGUGUGCUUAACACAUGCAAGUCGAACGGCAAGGCCCUGCUUUCUUGGGCUUCUCGAUUGGCGAUCGGGUGAGUAACACGUGAGCAACCUGCUCUUGUCUUUGGUAUAACUUCAGGUAACUGGAGUUAAUAUCAUAUCGCAUCUCCUGCUGCAUGGUGGGCGUUGGAUAUUUUCGGCUGUUGGGGUUGGACUCGCGGCUUAUCAGCUUGCUGGUGGGGUAGUGGCUUACCAAGGGCUUGACGGGUAGCCGGCAGGGGAGGGUGACCGGCCACAAUGGGACUGAGAGACGGACCAGACUCCUACGUGGGGCAGUAGUGGGGAGUAUUGCACAGUGGGCGGAAGCGUGAUGAAGAAGCGCCGCGUGCGGGAUGACGGCCUUCGGGUUGUAAACCGCUUUAGCCUGUGACGAAGCGUGAGUGACGGUAAUGGGUAAAGAAGCACCGGCUAACUACGUG